AAUGAACGCUGGCGGCAGGCCUAACACAUGCAAGUCGAACGAGUGGCGGACGGGUGAGUAAUGUCUGGGAAACUGCCCGAUGGAGGGGGAUAACUACUGUAAACGGUAGUUAUUACCGCAUACCAUCGGAUGUGCCCAGAUGGGCUUAGCUAGUAGGUGGGGUAACGGCUCACCUAGGAGACGAUCCCUAGCUGGUCUGAGAGGAUGACCAGCCACACUGGAACUUAGACACUGUCCAGACUCCUACGGGCGGCAGCAGGGGGGAAUAUUGCACAAUGGGCGAAAGCCUGAUAGAGCCAUGCCGCGUGUAUGAAGAAGGCCUUCGGGUUGUAAAGUACUUUCAGCGUGGAGGCGUUACUCGCAGAAGAAGCACCGGCUAACUCCGUGCCAGCAGCCGCGGUAAUUC
rnacentral:rRNA from 1 species